UACGUAGGGCGCGAGCGUUGUCCGGAUUUAUUGGGCGUAAAGAGCUCGUAGGCGGCUCAUUGCGUCAACCGUGAAAACCAGCAGCUCAACUGUUGGCUUGCGGUUGAUACGGGUGGGCUGGAGUUCGGUAGGGGAGACUGGAAUUCCUGGUGUAGCGGUGAAAUGCGCAGAUAUCAGGAGGAACACCGGUGGCGAAGGCGGGUCUCUGGGCCGAUACUGACGCUGAGGCGCGAAAGCGUGGGGAGCAAACAGG
rnacentral:rRNA from 1 species